rnacentral:rRNA from 1 species
GACGAACGCUGGCGGCGUGCCUAAUACAUGCAAGUCGAGCGAAGCGGCGGAUGGGUGAGUAACGCGUGGGUAACCUGCCCUUAAGUCUGGGAUACCAUUUGGAAACAGAUGCUAAUACCGGAUACUAAAGGAUGGACCUGCGAUGCAUUAGCUAGUUGGUAAGGUAACGGCUUACCAAGGCGAUGAUGCAGAGACGAGUUGAGAGGAUGACCAGCCACACGGGAACGGAGACACGGUCCAGACUCCUACGGGAGGCAGCAGUGGGGAAUAUUGCACAAUGGGCGCAAGCCUGAUACAGCCAUGCCGCGUGUAUGAAGAAGGCCUUCGGGUUGUAAAGUACUUUCAGCGAGGAGGCGUUACUCGCAGAAGAAGCAUCGGCUAACUCCGUGCCAGCCGCCGCGGUAAUUC